rnacentral:rRNA from 1 species
GACAGAGGUCCCGAGCGUUAGGCGGAAUCAUUGGGCGUAAAGCGCGUGUAGGCGGCCCGGUAAGUCCGCUGUGAAAGUCGGGGGCUCAACCCUCGAAUGCCGGUGGAUACUGUCGGGCUAGAGUGCGGAAGAGGCGAGUGGAAUUCCUGGUGUAGCGGUGAAAUGCGCAGAUAUCAGGAGGAACACCAAUUGCGAAGGCAGCUCGCUGGGACGUGACUGACGCUGAGACGCGAAAGCGUGGGGAGCAAACAGG